ensembl:lncRNA
CAGCAGUCUCUCCCUGAAACCAGGAGUAGGCACGAAUACACUCACACACACAGUCAAUCACCAGGAUACAACCACACUUUACACCAUCUUGUUCCUCCCAUCAGGAGUUGCACAUUGCCGUGGACUCACUCACAUGUGCACACUUUAAAACUUGACUGCACUGUCUCUUUUAAUACACAUCUAUGCCUGGUGAGCUUUAAUAGUCAGCAUUUUUCUAGGAACACACCUAAAACUCUGUGGAUAAAGCUAUGGCUCUACUCUUAUAUCGUUUUAUUGUCCUCUGUAUGUCUGUAUCGCUUGUUGCAGUGACUGAUGAAAGUUCAGUAACUGAAAACCCAGUAAAUACAACUAAUAUGAAUGUAACACAACAAACAGGUGUGAUGAGCUUCAUUCUCAUUUUGAUCAUUGUUAUGGUGAUCUUGGUAACAGCUGUUAACUUCAGAGGACAGUGCGCUAAUACAAAGGAAGAGGGUGUCAAAAACUACGUCUCUGUGAUAUCAGAAGGUCAUAUAAGCAACAUGGGAGAGAAGGAAAGCAUCAUGCUUGUCUCCAUGAGGACAAUAAACACAGACACUGACACAGAUUCACUGCGGAUCUCCUCCAUUUACAGUGCAGCACUGGACAACGAAGACCAAUAGCUCAGAAUCAGAGUAGGACUGAUUCAAUUCACUGAACAAAGCUGCCUUUUCAAGCUACUUUUCAGCAAUAACAGACCACAGUAUUAUUAAAAUGACACAGUUCUACAUUGUUGUACAAUUUGUCUCACAUUUGCAAUUUUUUUAUGCAAAAUUAAAUGAGCACAAAGAAUAAGCUAAUGAACGGUGAAUGUGUGAUGUCUGAAUAUUCUUUUUAAACAGCUCACUGGACAACUCCAAUGACCUCUAUUCCUCUAACCGCUUUAGUCUAGACUCAGUGUGAAAAUAAGAGAUAAUAAAGCUUGGGUUUUUCUGUAACAUUUUCCUGUUACAUACUAAAUAUUUGUAUUUUCUUUUCAGUGUUAAAGCCCGAAUGUUUCACUCAAGAAACGUUAAAAGAAAUGUUUCUAAAUAGUCGAUCCACUGUAAUAAACGACACUGGAACACACUGUGCAGUGUGCACCAUAUAAGGGCAAUCUUGGCGCUUUUGGAUUGGUCCUUACUCUGCUUCCG